GUGAAUCAUCGAGUCUUUUGAACGCACCUUGCGCUCCUUGGUAUUCCGAGGAGCAUGCCUGUUUGAGUGUCAUUAAUGUAUCAACCUUGUGUUGGAUGUGGGGGUUCUUUUUGUUGGCCUUUGAGGUCAGCUCCCCUGAAAUGUAUUAGCAGAACAGUCAGUCCUGUCAUUGGUGUGAUAAAAGCUAUCUACGCUAAUUGACAGUGAAGCCAGGUUCAGCUUUCUAACAGUCCAUUUGACUUGGACAAGCUCCUUUCAUUUAAUGUGACCUUCAAAUCAGGUAUGGACUACCCGCUGAACUUAAGCAUAUCAAUAAGCGGAGG
rnacentral:rRNA from 1 species